GAGUUUGAUCCUGGCUCAGAACGAACGCUGGCGGCAGGCCUAAUACAUGCAAGUCGAGCGCGCCCUUCGGGGUGAGCGGCGGACGGGUGAGUAACGCGUGGGAAUAUGCCCUUCUCUAAGGAAUAGCCUCUGGAAACGGAGAGUAAUACCUUAUACGCCCUUUGGGGGAAAGAUUUAUCGGAGAAGGAUUAGCCCGCGUUAGAUUAGGUAGUUGGUGGGGUAAUGGCCUACCAAGCCUACGAUCUAUAGCUGGUUUGAGAGGAUGAUCAGCCACACUGGGACUGAGACACGGCCCAGACUCCUACGGGAGGCAGCAGUGGGGAAUAUUGGACAAUGGGCGCAAGCCUGAUCCAGCCAUACCGCGUGUGUGAAGAAGGCCUUCGGGUUGUAAAGCACUUUAAGCAGGGAGAAAAAGUUAUAAGUUAAUACCUUAUAACCCUGAUGUUACCUGCAGAAUAAGCACCGGCUAAUUCCGUGCCAGCAGCCGCGGUAAUACGGAAGGUGCAAGCGUUAAUCGGAAUUACUGGGCGUAAAGCGCGCGUAGGUGGUUUGUUAAGUUGGAUGUGAAAGCCCUGGGCUCAACCUAGGAACUGCAUCCAAAACUAACUCACUAGAGUACGAUAGAGGGAGGUAGAAUUCAUAGUGUAGCGGUGGAAUGCGUAGAUAUUAUGAAGAAUACCAGUGGCGAAGGCGGCCUCCUGGAUCUGUACUGACACUGAGGUGCGAAAGCGUGGGUAGCGAACAGGAUUAGAUACCCUGGUAGUCCACGCCGUAAACGAUGACAACUAGCUGUUGGGAGACUAUGUCUUUCAGUGGCGCAGCUAACGCUUUAAGUUGUCCGCCUGGGGAGUACGGCCGCAAGGCUAAAACUCAAAUGAAUUGACGGGGACCCGCACAAGCGGUGGAGCAUGUGGUUUAAUUCGAUGCAACGCGAAAAACCUUACCUACUCUUGACAUACUUGGAGGCUCUUGUAAUGAGAGUGUGCCUUUUGGAACCAAGAUACAGGUGCUGCAUGGCUGUCGUCAGCUCGUGUCGUGAGAUGUUGGGUUAAGUCCCGCAACGAGCGCAACCCUCACUUUUAGUUGCCAUCAUUAAGUUGGGCACUCUGAAAGAACUGCCAGUGAUAAGCUGGAGGAAGGUGGGGAUGACGUCAAGUCCUCAUGGCCCUUACGUGUUGGGCUACACACGUGCUACAAUGGCAUCUACAACAGGAAGCAAAACGGCAACGUUAAGCAAAUCCCGAAAAGAUGCCUCAGUUCGGAUUGCACUCUGCAACUCGAGUGCAUGAAGCUGGAAUUACUAGUAAUCGUGGAUCAGCGUGCCACGGUGAAUGCGUUCCCGGGUCUUGUACACACCGCCCGUCACACCAUGGGAGUUGGUUCUACCUUAAGGCAAGGUUUUAAACCCUUGACCACGGUAUAGUCAGCGACUGGGGUGAAGUCGUAACAAGGUAACC
rnacentral:rRNA from 1 species